CUCAUCAGUCUGCCGCGUACCGACACUGUGGAUUGUGAACAGGACGUCAGACACGGUGGUGCUUACGAGAAUUUUCGAAUAUUAUUUAAAGCGCCAUCUAUGGAGUCCCAAGUGGAAUCCAUGCUUGUGUCCCCGAGGUUCGAGAGCUGCUCAUUCUGGUCGUCCCUUGCAGUCGACUACCUAUCUCUUCGCAGUCACAAUCACUUUUAUGCCAAUUUCAAAUGAUAUAUGAUAAAAAGCUUCAUAGAAUGUUAAAGAAAACAUUAAUCAAAGAAGAAUUAUUGGCUUUCUACUUAACAGGAGCGUAGCGCGGGUGAAAUGUUUAGAAAACAGAAUGAACAGCACCUUAUCGGUUUGAUGAUCUCCUGCCGCCAAUAUGAAAUGUAAGCUACGCGUGCAAAGACGAGCAGACGCUUGUUAGGUAACGAGGAAUUAUACGAGGCGCCUACGAUCCAA